AGCUUCCGCUAUGCUUGUCUAAGCGUACACGAAUUAAAAGUGAAACCGCAAAACGCUUAUUACAUCAUUUUUCUCUCCUUAGAUCGAUAACAGUUAUUUGGAUAAUUAUGGCACUUUUAGAGCCAAUACCUGCAAUGUAAUCAUGGCCCAUGAAACGUGUGCUUUUGUUAGACUACAACCAAGCGAACUUUUUUUAUCGGAUAUUGAUCUAACUCUCGACCACUUGCAGAUCGUCUGGUCUUGCAUCGAUGAGGGAUCUUUCAAAUGUCUACCCUAUUAAGUUUUGAUGGUCGGAUUUAGGACUACCAUGGUUGCAACGGAUAAACGAAGAGUCAGGGUUCGAUUCCGGAGAGGGAGCCUGAGAGACGGCGACCACAUCGAAGGAAGACAGCAGGCCCGUAAAUUACCCAUCGAAGGAAGGUGGU
rnacentral:ncRNA from 1 species